GUUGUGGCUCAGUGGUAGAGCGCUUGCCUAGCAUGUGUGACACACUGGGUUCGAUCCUCAGCACACA
rnacentral:tRNA from 1 species